GCAAAGGUAAACCCAUUCCAUACGAAGAGGACUAAGGUGAAAUCAGGGAGUUGCAGGCUUGCAAUAAAGUUAGAUUUUGACAGUAGGCAAGAUCUUGGAGACAUUAGCAGAGGAUGAGAUCACAAAACAUCUGGAAAAAUAUGAGCUGAUAUAAAAGAAUUGGGAGAGCUUCUGGAACAGAGUCAUGUCUGACAAAAUGGAUGGAAUUUUUGGAGGCAGAUGGGAAAUGGCAGGGUAAAAUAGGAAGUCCAGAGGCAAUCAAGAACAAGGCUCUCCCUUCCUUCUCCCACAUCAUCAGUUCUGAGGGUCAACAAUGGCUUAAAUCCAUGCCCAGCCCAGUAAAUUGGAAAUGGCAGAAGAAGACUCCAGGGUGGUGGCCUGAAAGGAAGAU